UUAAAUUGAAGAGUUUGAUCAUGGCUCAGAUUGAACGCUGGCGGCAGGCCUAACACAUGCAAGUCGAGCGGAAACG
rnacentral:rRNA from 1 species